rnacentral:rRNA from 1 species
GACAGAGGUCUCGAGCGUUAGGCGGAAUCACUGGGCUUAAAGCGUGUGUAGGCGGACUUCUAAGUGCCUUGUGAAAUCCCACGGCUCAACCGUGGAACUGCUGGGCAUACUGGUUGUCUUGGGCCAUCUAGGGGCUACUGGAACAAACGGUGGAGCGGUGAAAUGCUUAGAUAUGACAUAGAACACCCAUUGCGAAGGCAGCUCGCUACACUAUUAUUGACACUGAGGCACGAAAGCGUGGGGAUCAAACAGG